rnacentral:rRNA from 1 species
UACGUAGGGUGCAAGCGUUAUCCGGAAUUAUUGGGCGUAAAGCGUUCGUAGGUGGUUUAUUAAGUUUGCGAUAAAAUCCGGUCGCUCAACGAUCGAAUUGUUGCGAAAACUGAUAGACUGGAGAUUGGCAGGGGCAACUGGAAUUCUGCAAGUAGGGGUAAAAUCCGUUGAUAUGCAGAGGAACACCAAAAGCGAAGGCAGGUUGCUGGGCCAUUUCUGACGCUGAGGAACGAAAGCGUGGGGAGCAAACAGGAUUAGAUACCCCAGUA